AUUGAACGCUGGCGGCAUGCCUUACACAUGCAAGUCGAACGGUAACAGGUUAAGCUGACGAGUGGCGAACGGGUGAGUAAUGUAUCGGAACGCGCCCAGUCGUGGGGGAUAACUGCUCGAAAGAGCAGCUAAUACCGCAUACGACCUGAGGGUGAAAGCGGGGGAUCGCAAGACCUCGCGCGAUUGGAGCGGCCGAUAUCAGAUUAGGUAGUUGGUGGGAUAAAGGCCUACCAAGCCUACGAUCUGUAGCUGGUCUGAGAGGACGACCAGCCACACUGGGACUGAGACACGGCCCAGACUCCUACGGGAGGCAGCAGUGGGGAAUUUUGGACAAUGGACGCAAGUCUGAUCCAGCCAUGCCGCGUGCGGGAAGGAGGCCUUCGGGUUGUAAACCGCUUUUGUCAGGGAAGAAAAGGGUGUUUCUAAUAAAGACGCCUCAUGACGGUACCUGAAGAAUAAGCACCGGCUAACUACGUGCCAGCCGCCGCUGUAAAAC
rnacentral:rRNA from 1 species